rnacentral:lncRNA from 1 species
CACAAACAAAUUUGAGUGACAGAAUCUGUUGCCGGUGCAUUGGGUUCUUGUCCCCUAGGAUAGAAAUCAAGAGAGACAACAAACGGAAGUAAAAAAGUAAAAGUUGCUUAGCUUGUGCCCAGGAGAGGCACAAGCGAGCUGGUGCAGAGAGGAAAGGGGCAGAAGCUAGGAUGGUGAUUACCUCGGAGAGGCAGUGACUGGAACUCAGCCGGCCUGCUGGGGACCUGGACAGAUUCUGUUUCUUGAUCUGGUGCUGGUUACGUGGAUGUGUUCGGUUGUCCUGCUGUGACGUCAUGGUUCUCUAUUCGCUCGUGGCUCAUGAACCACUUCUCUCCUUAAGUUAAGUAGCCUUCAAGCAUCAACUAGUAAGAGCCUCAAGACCAGGCUGUGUAACAGGCCAUUUUUAAAUCAAGUAGCUGUCCUUCUUUGUGACUUAGCUAAAGCUGGCCUAUCUCCAGUCACCAUAGAAGACAAAGACCAAACACAGCAAUUAUUACUCUGUCAAAUGCAGUUAAGUCAAAUCCAAAGAGCUUAAACAUGCAGAUAACUGUGGAUCAUCGCUGGUGGUGCUGACAAGAGACUGUAGCAAAUAGAAAAGGAAUCCUAAAAAUUUCUACUAUAGGAAUUCGCAGCAAAAUCUCGAGAAGAACUUAGCAAGUAAUAAAAUUAUUCUGCAAAAUGAAAAUAAUCUGCAGAUGAGUAUCAGUUAUGAAUUUUAAUAAAACCAUAAGGUUUUUUUCUCUUUUUUGAG